rnacentral:lncRNA from 1 species
CUCCUGCUUGUCAUUAUUGUAACUGGGGCCUUUACUUUAAGACUCCCACUUGAGAGCUGAGAUGUACUCAGGAAAGAGAGGGCCCUCUGGUUAGGUCACCCAGGAAGCAGUGCUCUGGAGAUGCCAAUUCUAGACUCAGUGCCAACCAGCACCAUGUGCAACCAGGGUCAGGAAAGGGCUGACGGUGCUCUUUGGGAAUGAUAAGCAAGCAGUAGUAUAAAACUAAAUCACUCUACAUCUGCUAUAUUUCAUUAACACGAGUCACAGCAAGAC